UCCUGGUGCUCUUGGGCUGGUGUAUCUCUGCUCGGAACCGCGGCCGUGUCGUCCGCCUGCAGCCGGUCUCCAGGCUCCCGGCCAACCCCUGCUCGGGGCGCCGCCGCUGGGACGGCUCGGGCUCUGUCGCCGCCUCCUCUCUGGGCGCGCGUCCCGCCGCCCCGGAGAGUGUGCCGCUCGACCUGGGCCCGGGCCUCUGGCCGGGAAAGGACGGUCCCCGAAUGCAGGGAAAGCCGGGGAUCCUGGAAGUCGUGGCUAGAGUCAAGGGCAACCAGGCUGCUGGAAUUGGGUCGAGAGAGUUCAUUCACUAAACAAUCGGGAACUUGAACUAAGAAUUCCCAAAAUGGGAGAGGAGAUGGUGAAGAAACAAGUAAUUGCAAAGAAUUAUAAAAUUUUCUGCAAUGAUGAAAUUUUAACUGAAGCUGUAAUCUGAUUCAGUCACCUGGAAAAACAACUUUCAAAGCAGAUCCAGGAAGACUAUGGGAAAGCAGACCAUGCAGACCAUGAGCAGUGGGUUUCAGCUUUUGGAUUUCCACUACAAGUAAAAUCUGUCCUCCUCUAGUGGGAACAGAACAACUAAGGAGACACAGGUUUGCCAUCCUUUAAUUUGUUAAAUUAAAAACAUUAAGCACACCUUAAAACAAUUACCUGCUACUGUCACCAUUGUUUUAUAAAGGGAAGGAUUUAUUUCAACAUUAAAAGCCAAGAAAGGAAUACUAUUAUAAUAAAGGACAGUCUUUUAAAAUAAAUAAAAUUAACUUCAU